GUUAGUGGCGGACGGGUGAGUAACGCGUGAGAAUCUGCCCUCAGGAGGGGGAUAACGGUUGGAAACGACCGCUAAUACCCCAUAUGCCGCGAGGUGAAAUGAAUUUCGCCUGAGGAUGAGCUCGCGUCUGAUUAGCUAGUUGGUGGGGUAAGAGCCUACCAAGGCUUCGAUCAGUAGCUGGUCUGAGAGGAUGAUCAGCCACACUGGGACUGAGACACGGCCCAGACUCCUACGGGAGGCAGCAGUGGGGAAUUUUCCGCAAUGGGCGAAAGCCUGACGGAGCAACGCCGCGUGAGGGAUGAAGGCCUCUGGGCUGUAAACCUCUUUUAUCAAGGAAGAAGAUCUGACGGUACUUGAUGAAUAAGCCACGGCUAAUUCCGUGCCAGCAGCCGCGGUAAUACGGGAGUGGCAAGCGUUAUCCGGAAUUAUUGGGCGUAAAGCGUCCGCAGGCGGUCUUACAAGUCUGUCGUUAAAGCGUGGAGCUUAACUCCAUUUCGGCGAUGGAAACUGUAAGACUAGAGUGUGGUAGGGGCAGAGGGAAUUCCCGGUGUAGCGGUGAAAUGCGUAGAUAUCGGGAAGAACACCAGUGGCGAAGGCGCUCUGCUGGGCCAUAACUGACGCUCAUGGACGAAAGCUAGGGGAGCGAAAGGGAUUAGAUACCCCUGUAGUCCUAGCCGUAAACGAUGAACACUAGGUGUCGGGGGAAUCGACCCCCUCGGUGUCGUAGCCAACGCGUUAAGUGUUCCGCCUGGGGAGUACGCACGCAAGUGUGAAACUCAAAGGAAUUGACGGGGGCCCGCACAAGCGGUGGAGUAUGUGGUUUAAUUCGAUGCAACGCGAAGAACCUUACCAGGGUUUGACAUCCUGCGAAUCCCUUGGAAACGAGGGAGUGCCUUCGGGAGCGCAGAGACAGGUGGUGCAUGGCUGUCGUCAGCUCGUGUCGUGAGAUGUUGGGUUAAGUCCCGCAACGAGCGCAACCCACGUCUUUAGUUGCCAGCAUUCAGUUGGGCACUCUAGAGAGACCGCCGGUGAUAAACCGGAGGAAGGUGUGGAUGACGUCAAGUCAUCAUGCCCCUUACAUCCUGGGCUACACACGUACUACAAUGCUACGGACAAAGGGUUGCAAGCUCGCGAGAGUUAGCUAAUCCCAUAAACCGUGGCUCAGUUCAGAUCGUAGGCUGCAACUCGCCUACGUGAAGGAGGAAUCGCUAGUAAUCGCAGGUCAGCAUACUGCGGUGAAUACGUUCCCGGGCCUUGUACACACCGCCCGUCACACCAUGGAAGUUGGCCAUGCCCGAAGUCGUUACUCCAACCCUUGUGGAGGAGGACGCCGAAGGUGGGGCUGAUGACUGGGGUGAAGUCGUAACAAGGUAGCCGUACCGGAAGGUGCGGCUGGAUCACCUCCU
rnacentral:rRNA from 1 species